GGUAAUUGCGUGAAGUCUACGGCAUACUUUGAACGUCGUACGAUCGAAGAAAGAACGAUUACCCGAACGGAACGAGGUACAUCGAGUUCCUUUCGAUCGAACAGAAAGCUCUCCGGAACCAUUAUCGUAAAGUGUCGCGAGUAAAACGGUAUUACAGUGGAAAGCUGCGCGGUGUGACGAAAGGCCAACGAACACCUCUUGAAUUUUGCCACUUACACCUUUCCAAUAGAACUUAUCUCACUCUAAUUAUCCAAUCAAAAAACAUUCCCGGAUAUUCGAAAAGUUCGCGAACAUGGCUGAAACUUGCAUCGCAUCGUUCGAAACUUCGCGAGGAUUUUGAAAUCAUGGGAAACGACACGUAGAAAAAUUAGUUACUAAUGGUGGCUCGGAAGGGUUAAGGGCACCCAUUUUCCCUCCCAAUUAGAUGCGUACCGUUGAAUUGCGCAGUAGCGUCGCGUGUGGGCGACCAAGUGUAACGGUAGCAGUAAAAGCGAUCGACCGGCAUUUCAAACGUAACUGCAUCGAUAUGAAUUUUACGAGGUUCGAGCAAUUUCAAAUACUUUUCUGACGCGCGAGGAUCAGGAAUUACGAGGUGCACCGGCGUAAAAGCGAACGUACGCGUAAUUCUUGAUUUAACCGGGAGAGAAUCAACAGGGUAUCGUUCGGAAAUGGUAUGCAUAUAAGGUGUUCGAAAAACAGGAGGCAAUUUCACGGGCCGGGUCUCGGUAAAUAAACCCAAAUGUGUACCAGAUACGAAGCUAUUGUAGAUUACUACAAAUCGAAGGAAAAGCAAAAUAAAUGUAGCUGUAAAAAACUCACCGGUGCUACACGACGUGUGAGCUGUGUCAACUGCGCAGUUGACGGGUUAAAACGUUGUGUUCAGGGACGUCGUGCUCGGUACCGGUGCCCGAACGGUGCAACCGGUAAUAGUGAACUACCAUUGCGACGCGUAACGGCGAUUUACGGAAACUCGCGACACCGAAUUCGAGUUUCGAAUUGCUUGUAAGGCGAAAAUUGCGCGCUUUAUCUUUUCAACACAUCGACAAUUUAUACUAACGUAACACGCAAUUUGUUCCUUUUAAGUCCACACGAUUUAACUCUGAAUGCUUUCCAUUAUCUGUUACAGAGAAUUAUUACAAACUCCACGUGGCGUGGAUUUUAAGCUACUCUUAUUGUCUGUAUUAAAACUAAAGACACUUUGACUCGUUUUUAGUACGUUUAAACAAUCGCAAAUGACUGAGAUUGAUAAAGAACUUUAACCAGUUUCAACACAGAUAAAGAACUGCAAUAUUUCAUAACUUUCAGCAGGUUAUUAUCUGUAAUCGUACCCCGAGAACGCGACCUAUUUGAUUCCUAACCACUAUUAUUGUAAACAGCGAUUUUAAUUCAUUAACACUACUAACUAACCUUGACAAAAUGAUCUGCGUUUUCAUUCGAGACAACAUGACGUAAAAUUCACGUCACGAACAAUAAUCACAAGCACUAAACGUUAACUUUCAUCAGAGCGGACUCCAAGAUGUUCCGCGCCUGACGAUCACGUGACAAUUUGAAGACAGUAGCGCCAUCAUUCGACCGUCGACUGAACAAAAACAAACGAUACGUGGCGCGAUCAGUUGACAAGAAUGCGAAACAGCGACAUCGAACGUCUGCUGAAUUAUACGAAGCUACGAAGAAGCACACAUAAGCAAACAGCCACCCUUUGGUUGUGCUUGUCCUCCUACUCCUCCCACCCCACCACCCCUUGUUAAACCCUCAUCGUUGCGGAUCUAGACGUCAAACAAACGAAACAACGCCCUUUGUCAUAAAUUCGAGAGAACGAUAAGGAUUGCGAAAAAGUAACAUUUUGUACGCGCGCCCUCUUUGCACAACAUGGUGUAAUCCGUUUAAAGCGCGUAAUCUUGUUGCCUUCUUUUCAUGGCAGUUUGCGUCACACGAGCACGUUGUCACCUUAUCGUUUUCACAAAUUGUCGACUCACCGUUUCAUUUUCCGCGAUACACAUAGGCUCCAUCUCCAUGACCCGUUUGGAUUUUCGUCUUUUCGAUGUCCUAUGAACGAAUCCUUCGCCACACGCUUUGUUCAAUCGUGAUUCUGUCCUGUUCUUCAACACUUUGCAACGGCAACGUGUGUCUGUUUACAAACACUGCAAGGUCACACAGCAGACCCCCAGACCUUUCCGACUGUGGAGUAUUUCGUAUUACGUCACGACCAGCGAUCGCCGCGCCACCAACUUUAAAACGCUUAAACACUAACGAAUUGGCUUUUCGAAUCGACUGUUGAUAAAUCAAAAGAGGAAUUUUCAAAUUUUUGAAAAUUUUUAAUGUUUAGCGUUUUCGUUUAUUCUGAAAUGUUAAGUCAUUUCAAAAAACCUAACCAUGUAGUCAAAAUUCCUUUUUAACGUAACAUUUCAUACACACAAUACCAAUGUUCUUUUUUUAAUUAACCAUUUCAAAUUAAUCGAUGUUAUUCGCAUUUAAUUAAUGAAUAUUAAUGCAAUGAAUGAAAACGGUCAAUUAGAUCCUGAAUAUAACUGGGUUUUACGAACAUGUACGAAUGCUUUUAACGUAUAUUUAACCGUCAUUCAUUUUACUUUUUACGAUAACGCUAUAAAUAUGCAACCGAAUGCUACCUUUGCAGAGGCUUUCUCAUACCCCUUAUUCAUGGCUGUUGUGGAUCUUUUGGUGUACUCUAUAUUACAAUAAUAACUAACACUUCAUGUUACAAUAUUAAACAUUAAAAUUGACCAUUUUCUAAGUGUAAAUUUGCAUUUUAAUUACUAUAUUACUAUCGUCACAUAUUCCCUAUGGAACAUUAUUUCAUUUAAGAACUGUCUUACGUACCAUUUGUCAGGGGGUUUUGAAAUUUUUGCUCGUAAUAACUGUCACUGUUUCUAGACGACCUUCUGGCCCCAUCGUCAUCAUUGUCCUAUAGAAGCUUGAGUUAUUUCCCGACUCAUCUUUAUGGUAGCUGUUGCUGAAACCGGUUCUACGGUGUUCUUUUUUGUAAUAUCCGUUGUUGUACCAUUCAAAAGAAUUCCUCCCUUGAUCGGCGACUUUGGAUUCUCCUAAAAUGUAUCUUCCUUUGUGUACCAUAUCUCCUUCCUUUCUGGUUGCUUUCAUUAAAUUCUAUAUGUAUAUAGUCAUCCUUCACUAUAGCCGAAGUUGCCGUUUUCUCAUUAUCGAAAAUUAUGUACGUCUCGUCGGUCCUCUUUUGAACCUUUCUUUAAAUCACGAACCCUCGAAAUUUUUAAGUAGUUUAAUGUUUAACACUUAUAUAUUGCUCAGCAAAAUAAUACUUAAACUAAAUAAUAACUCUAUGAAACUAUCUAUGAUACUAAAUUUGAAAAUUCAAGAAAAGGUUGAAAAAAAAAUUAAUAAAUCCUUCGAGACCUUUCGAUUUUACGCGUUAAGAAAUAAAAUAAUCAAUGAAACGAAACACGAUUGCAUUGUACCAGGUACUUGGGAUUCCACAAAGUCAACAUUGCAAAAAAUUAAUACUUUUUUUUUAUUGAGAACUUAUAAAAACAAAAACUCUCUUAGUCAUUUCAUGGAUUUUCUUUUUUCUGGUUGAAGUAUUAUAUUCUAUUUAAGACACUCAUUACGUUAGAAUUGUUCUUUUUUUUUUUUAAUAUGUUAAAACUUAUAAAUAAUACAAAGAAAAGGUUUGAAAUAAAUUAUUCCUACAAAUAUAUCGUAACGUUAUUUACAACUUACAAAUAUUAUUAGAGGCACCUCUACAACGUAGUCGACGGGCAUAGGUAAAGGUAAGAAAUAUAUAGAUGUUGUAAAAAAUAUUCAAAACUUAUAUUUUAAGUCGUCUUCAUUGGAAAUUCUCGGUGCAGAAUUGUACAAGACGCUUAAUCGUAUUCUAAGUAUCAUAAGGGUAAUGAAGGGAGGGGAAAAGAAGGUAUACAGUAUAUAAUACAUCACUAAUCUUUGUGUUUCAAAAAUAUUGUAGCUCUUUCUAAACAAUACUUUCACGCACAUUCGCUUUUCUUACACUCCGGUUAUUAAAAUCGAUCGUUUAAUUAAGUCGCAUACCAAUUAUACAGUUUUGUAGUUUGUAGACAGAAUCAGGCAACCAUUGUUCUUUUUUUUCUUU